AACGAACGCUGGCGGCAUGCCUAACACAUGCAAGUCGAACGAGCUCUUCGGAGCUAGUGGCGCACGGGUGCGUAACGCGUGGGAACCUGCCCUUAGGUUCGGAAUAACACAGAGAAAUUUGUGCUAAUACCGGAUAAUGUCUUCGGACCAAGGAUUUAUCGCCUUUGGAUGGGCCCGCGUAGGAUUAGCUAGUUGGUGAGGUAAAGGCUCACCAAGGCGACGAUCCUUAGCUGGUCUUAGAGGAUGAUCAGCCACACUGGGACUGAGACACGGCCCAGACUCCUACGGGAGGCAGCAGUGGGGAAUAUUGGACAAUGGGCGCAAGUCUGAUCCAGCAAUGCCGCGUGAGUGAUGAAGGCCUUAGGGUUGUAAAGCUCUUUUACCCGGGAUGAUAAUGACAGUACCGGGAGAAUAAGCCCCGGCUAACUCCGUGCCAGCAGCCGCCGCAGUAA
rnacentral:rRNA from 1 species